UACGGGGGGGGCAAGCGUUGUUCGGAAUUACUGGGCGUAAAGGGCUCGUAGGUGGCCAACUAAGUCAGACGUGAAAUCCCUCGGCUUAACCGGGGAACUGCGUCUGAUACUGGAUGGCUUGAGUUUGGGAGAGGGACGCGGAAUUCCAGGUGUAGCGGUGAAAUGCGCAGAUAUCAGGAGGAACACCAAUGGCGAAGGCAGCUCGCUGGGACGGUACUGACGCUGAGGCGCGAAAGCGUGGGGAGCAAACAGG
rnacentral:rRNA from 1 species